rnacentral:rRNA from 1 species
ACGGGGGGGGUAAGCGUUGUUCGGAAUUACUGGGCGUAAAGGGCUCGUAGGCGGCCAACUAAGUCAGACGUGAAAUCCCUCAGCUUAACUGGGGAACUGCGUCUGAUACUGGAUGGCUUGGAUCCGGAAGAGGGAUGCGGAAUUCCAGGUGUAGCGGUGAAAUGCGUAGAUAUCUGGAGGAACACCGGUGGCGAAAGCGGCUCACUGGACCGUCUCUGACGCUGAGGUGCGAAAGCCAGGGUAGCGAACGGGA